CAGGAGGUAGUGACAAGAAAUAACAAUACGGGGCUUUACGUCUUGUAAUUGGAAUGAUGGGAAUCUAAACCUCUUCCAGAGUAUCAAUUGGAGGGCAAGUCUGGUGCCAGCAGCCGCGGUAAUUCCAGCUCCAAUAGCGUAUAUUAAAAUUGUUGCAGUUAAAAAGCUCGUAGUUGAAUUUCUGCUGCAUCGCCUUUUCUCCUUUACGAGUUUUGGCAUUGUGGCUUAUUUCGGAUUUGCUUGCAUUUCCGAAUGUUUACUUUGAGAAAAUUAGAGUGCUCAAAGCAGGCUUUUGCCUUGAAUAGUUUAGCAUGGAAUAAUAAAGUAGGACUUUGGUUCUAUUUUGUUGGUUUUAGGUACCAAAGUAAUGGUUAAUAGGAACAGUUGGGGGCAUUCGUAUUUAACUGUCAG
rnacentral:rRNA from 1 species